CGCUGAUUGCACUUAGCCACAGCACUUAAACGCCUGGAACUUUCCCGCUGGUAAAUGCUUGCCCCUCGCGCGUGAGGGUGAGAUCCGAGGACUCGCAUCCUGCUUGGCAGUACAGGGACCGGGAUUAAUUGGGUCUUCACCUGACCACACCAAAUUAUGUUGCCUCCUGCCUGCCACCACCCCAGGCUCUCCCCAGCACCCUGACUGGGUCUCAGCCUCCCAGUGUUGCUGUUUAAAGUGUGCUACAAGCUGCAGGAGCUCAGCUAAUAAAGGCCACCGAAUGAAAGAAAGUUAAAUAUGAAUGCAAGAGGGGGUCUAAUGAAGAGCUGGCUUGUACAUCUCAAAGAUGACCUUCUGGAGAUGAACGAGUGGAAAAUCCUUUUUAAAGCAAAUGGAUUUUUAAGUCGUUCUGUUGUCUUCUGGAUUCCAUUACUGAUCUUCACAAAUCAGCCCUGGGUCUCAUUGCUGUGUCGUUGAAGGACAUGUAUCACAUUUCUUCUGCCUGCUUUCAAGCUGUCUCUUUAGCCAAGAGUUUUAUGUUUCACUGGUACGGCCUCGGUGACACUUUCUUUCUAUUCAUUCAGCUUACUGUUUCCUGAGCUUCUAGACUCUGUGGGUUGACAUCUGUAAGACAACUUAAAAAUGUUUUAGGUGUCUUUGUUUUCUUUCUUUCUUUUUUUCUUAAUUUGAGUAGACUUGACACACAGUGUUACAUGGGUUUCAGGUGGACAGCCUAGUGAUUUGACAACUUUUAGACAUUAGGUAUCUGUUUUCAAAUGGUUCUUAUUUUCCAUUCUCUUUCUUCUCUCAUUCUGGGAACCUGACUACAUGUUUGCCAGGCCAGUUGUUUAUAUGCCACAUCUCUUUUCUAUUCUCCACUUUUGAAAUUCAGUUUUAUCUCUGUAAUUUGAUUUGAGACUCUUCUAUUGAACUCUCUCCAAGUAUCUAAUCUGUCUGUAUAUUUUUUGUAUAUUUUUUAUUGGAGUUCGAUUUGCCAACAUAUAGUACGACACCCAGCGCUCAUCCCGUCCAGUGCCCCCCUCAGUGCCCGUCACCCAGUUACCCCAUCCCCCCGCCCACUAAUCUGUCUUUAUUGAGUGCAGUGUACUUUCCAUUCAUCAAUGAGUUAUUAAUUUAGUUCCUACAAGAAUGUUUCUUAAAUUUUUAUACAUUCUGAUCAUUGUUAAAUUAUAUCUAAUUAUACACAUAUGUGUGUAUGUAAUUAGCUUCAUUAUUAAAUUAAAUAUAUGUUUUGAUUUUUGA